ACUUGAAUUUUUGUCAACUUUAACAAAAUGAUAAAUAUUUAUGUUUUAUCAUAUGGGAAAAAACCCUUUGAAUUUGCAUGAAAGAAUUAUAAUCCUGGCUCCUGAGCCUGAGAAAAAGCAAAUGAGAGAUGUGUAAAUUUUGGAGAGGACUUAGCUAGCACCCCAUCCAUGUCUUACGUAGGAAGUGUUAGGUAUUAAUUCCAAAGAGUUUGGGUUUCUCCUUUUCUUCCUGAAGAAAACUGUUCUCCCUAUAUAUCUAAUCUACCUGUGUAAACUAUUUGUUUAAUAAUUACUUAUUGGGGAUUUGUGCCUAAAAUGGUGAGAAGAAUGGGAACUCUGUAUUGUCUGAGACUUCUUUCUCUUAUAUCACAAUUAAAAUGAGAGCAAGUAAAAAGAACUUUUGCCUUUUUUAAAAGGAUGCUAGAACUAAUACUACUGGAAUCUAAAUAUCUUUGAAUUUUAAACAAAAUUUAAAUAAGGUUGAUUGUGCUAGAGGUGGUUACCUGACCCAUCAGAAAGAUGGAGUUAGCUGAAUUAGGCAAGUUUACCUUAAGUGUGUAGAUUCCACAAGUGUGCGGCAUUGUUUCAUUGAGGGAUUCAUUAAAUCUAUUGAUAGCAGCCCUGCCAGCUAAGUAGCUUCCUGCUUGGACCUGUUCACAAGGAGCUCCUGUUUGUCAUUUGGUUGCAUCCUGUGACUAAGCUACGUAAUAAAAUGUUGAAACUCAA